GUGAGGAAUAUUGGUCAAUGGGCGCAAGCCUGAACCAGCCAUCCCGCGUGCAGGAAGACGGCCCUAUGGGUUGUAAACUGCUUUUCCAGGAGAAUAAAAUUCUGUACGAGUACGGAAUUGAAGGUAUCUUGGGAAUAAGCAUCGGCUAACUCCGUGCCAGCAGCCGCGGUAAUACGGAGGAUGCGAGCGUUAUCCGGAUUUAUUGGGUUUAAAGGGUGCGUAGGCGGAUCGAUAAGUCAGUGGUGAAAACCUGCAGCUUAACUGUAGACUUGCCGUUGAUACUGUUGGUCUUGAGUAUGGUCAAGGUAGGCGGAAUGUGUAAUGUAGCGGUGAAAUGCUUAGAUAUUACACAGAACACCGAUUGCGAAGGCAGCUUACUGGACCAUCACUGACGCUGAUGCACGAAAGCGUGGGGAUCGAACAGGAUUAGAAACCCCAGUAGUCC
rnacentral:rRNA from 1 species